rnacentral:rRNA from 1 species
AUUGAACGCUGGCGGCAGGCUUAACACAUGCAAGUCGAGCGGAGAUGAGGUGCUUGCACCUUAUCUUAGCGGCGGACGGGUGAGUAAUGCUUAGGAAUCUGCCUAUUAGUGGGGGACAACAUUCCGAAAGGAAUGCUAAUACAGCAUACGUCCUACGGGAGAAAGCAGGGGAUCUUCGGACCUUGCGCGUAUGGAUGAGCCUAAGUCGGAUUAGCGAGUUGGUGGGGUAAAGGCCUACCAAGGCGACAAUCUGUAGCGGGUCUGAGAGGAUGGCCCGCCACACUGGGACUGAGACACGGCCCAGACUCCUACGGGAGGCAGCAGUGGGGAAUAUUGGACAAUGGGGGGAACCCUGAUCCAGCCAUGCCGCGUGUGUGAAGAAGGCCUUAUGGUCGUAAAGCACUUUAAGCGAGGAGGAGGCUACUGAGACUAAUACUCUUGGAUAGUGGACGUUGCUCGCAGAAUAAGCACCGGCUAACUCUGUGCCAGCCGCCGCCGUAA